CAUGAAGUUUGGAAAAGACAACAAAUGAGCCCAUACCCAGAGCCUUUCAUGAAGGCCAUGGGCUUUCUCCAUAGAAGAAAGCAUGACCUUAACGUAUCCGCUCCAGUUACAGGGGUUCAUGGUCCUAGCCUGGAUCAAAGCUCAUUCUUUAGCUGCUGUCGGUCCUCAUUCCAGAAGCAGAUUGGGUCCAAGGUCAACUGCCUGUUCAGGGCUUGUUGAAGUACAAGGUUAGCACUCUGCUCGUUUUGCCAGCUUCCAGCCCAGUGAAACAUUAACGUGUUUGCUUUUGCCAGUGGAUGUCUCAAUUAUGUUCCUGUGUAAAUAAAGCACUGGUAUUUGCCACCACUUGAUUCAA